rnacentral:misc_RNA from 1 species
UCCUUCUUAUCGAAGGCAGUUUCCAAAGAGUGCCUCCCUUGCGGGAGUAGCAACAUUGGAUAGGGGUUGCGCUCGUUGCGGGACUUAACCCAACAUCUCACGACACGAGCUGACGACAACCAUGCAGCACCUCUGCUGGCUCCCUUGCGGGUCGCCCACUGUUUCCAGCGGACUACCACCAGUAGUUCAAGCCCAGGUAAGGUUCUUCGCGUUGCGUCGAAUUGAACCACAUGCUCCACCGCUUGUGCGGGCCCCCGUCAAUUCCUUUGAGUUUCAGUCUUGCGACCGUACUCCCCAGGCGGAUUGCUUAUCGCGUUAGCUGCGGCACGAUCGGAUUGGGUACCGAUCACACCAAGCAAUCAUCGUUUAGGGCUAGGACUAC